rnacentral:rRNA from 1 species
GAUUAGAUUUUAUUUAUUAAUUUAUAUUAUUGUUUAUAAAAAUAUUAGAAAUAACUAUAAAUUUUAUGGUUUUAGUAUUGUUUAAAGAAAAAAUAAUUUUAAUAAUAGUUUAAUAGUAUUGUAAAAGAAAAUUGAAAUAAUUUGAAAAAUUUUUAUUUUAAAAGAAAAUUUAAUUUAUUGUACCUUGUGUAUCAGCGUUUAUUAAAUAAAAAAUAAAUAUUUAUUUUUCUCGAUUUUAAAAGAGUUAAUAUAAUAUUUAAGUUAAUGUGAUAAAAUUAUUUAAAAUAUUAUAUUAGAAAUGAAAUGUUAUUCGUUUUUAAAGGUAUCUAGUUUUUUAAGAAAUAAAUUUAAUUUAGAAAUUAUAAAUUUAUUUAAUUAUUUUAUUAAUUAAAUAAUUUAUAAUUUUAAUAUUUUAUGGGAUAAGCUAUAAAAUAAAUUUUUAAAAAUAAUAAAUAAAUUUAAUAAAUAUAUGCUUAGAAUUAGCAAUUAUUAAAAAAUGUGUUAUAAUUUAUUUUAUAAAUUAAAUUAUUUAUUAAAUUUUAAUUAUUUAUUAAAAUAUUAAUUUUAAUUUUUAAAAUUAAGUAAUAAUGAUAAAAUUAGUAUAUUAUGAUGUUUAAAUAUAUUUAAAUGAAAAGUUUAAGUAAAGAAUUCGGCAAAAAUAAUGUUCGCCUGUUUAACAAAAACAUGUCUUUUUGAAUUAUAUAUAAAGUCUGACCUGCCCACUGAAAAAUUUUUAAAUGGCCGCAGUAUUUUGACUGUGCAAAGGUAGCAUAAUCAUUAGUCUUUUAAUUGAAGGCUGGAAUGAAUGGUUGGACGAAAUAUUAACUGUUUCAUUUAAAUUUUUUAUAGAAUUUUAUUUUUUAGUCAAAAAGCUAAAAUUUAUUUAAAAGACGAGAAGACCCUAUAAAUCUUUAUAUUUUGUUUAUUUUAAUUAUAAAGAUUAAUUUAAUUUUAAUAAAUUAAAAUAUUUUAUUGGGGUGAUAUUAAAAUUUAAAAAACUUUUAAUUUUUAAAAACAUUAAUUUAUGAAUAAUUGAUCCAUUAAUAAUGAUUAUAAAAUUAAGUUACUUUAGGGAUAACAGCGUAAUUUUUUUGGAGAGUUCAUAUCGAUAAAAAAGAUUGCGACCUCGAUGUUGGAUUAAGAUAUAAUUUUGGGUGUAGCCGUUCAAAUUUUAAGUCUGUUCGACUUUUAAAUUCUUACAUGAUCUGAGUUCAAACCGGUGUAAGCCAGGUUGGUUUCUAUCUUUAAAAAAUUAUAAUAUUUUAGUACGAAAGGACCAAAUAUUAAAAUAAUUAUAUUUUAUAAUAUGAAUAUUAUUAAUAUACUAUUUUGGCAGAUUAGUGCAAUAAAUUUAGAAUUUAUU